rnacentral:rRNA from 1 species
AAAUUGAAGAGUUUGAUCAUGGCUCAGAUUGAACGCUGGCGGCAGGCCUAACACAUGCAAGUCGAACGGUAGCACAGAGAGCUUGCUCUCGGGUGACGAGUGGCGGACGGGUGAGUAAUGUCUGGGAAACUGCCUGAUGGAGGGGGAUAACUACUGGAAACGGUAGCUAAUACCGCAUAACGUCGCAAGACCAAAGAGGGGGACCUUCGGGCCUCUUGCCAUCAGAUGUGCCCAGAUGGGAUUAGCUAGUAGGUGGGGUAACGGCUCACCUAGGCGACGAUCCCUAGCUGGUCUGAGAGGAUGACCAGCCACACUGGAACUGAGACACGGUCCAGACUCCUACGGGAGGCAGCAGUGGGGAAUAUUGCACAAUGGGCGCAAGCCUGAUGCAGCCAUGCCGCGUGUAUGAAGAAGGCCUUCGGGUUGUAAAGUACUUUCAGCGGGGAGGAAGGUGUUGUGGUUAAUAACCACAACAAUUGACGUUACCCGCAGAAGAAGCACCGGCUAACUCCGUGCCAGCAGCCGCGGUAAUACGGAGGGUGCAAGCGUUAAUCGGAAUUACUGGGCGUAAAGCGCACGCAGGCGGUCUGUCAAGUCGGAUGUGAAAUCCCCGGGCUCAACCUGGGAACUGCAUUCGAAACUGGCAGGCUAGAGUCUUGUAGAGGGGGGUAGAAUUCCAGGUGUAGCGGUGAAAUGCGUAGAGAUCUGGAGGAAUACCGGUGGCGAAGGCGGCCCCCUGGACAAAGACUGACGCUCAGGUGCGAAAGCGUGGGGAGCAAACAGGAUUAGAUACCCUGGUAGUCCACGCCGUAAACGAUGUCGACUUGGAGGUUGUGCCCUUGAGGCGUGGCUUCCGGAGCUAACGCGUUAAGUCGACCGCCUGGGGAGUACGGCCGCAAGGUUAAAACUCAAAUGAAUUGACGGGGGCCCGCACAAGCGGUGGAGCAUGUGGUUUAAUUCGAUGCAACGCGAAGAACCUUACCUACUCUUGACAUCCAGAGAACUUAGCAGAGAUGCUUUGGUGCCUUCGGGAACUCUGAGACAGGUGCUGCAUGGCUGUCGUCAGCUCGUGUUGUGAAAUGUUGGGUUAAGUCCCGCAACGAGCGCAACCCUUAUCCUUUGUUGCCAGCGGUCCGGCCGGGAACUCAAAGGAGACUGCCAGUGAUAAACUGGAGGAAGGUGGGGAUGACGUCAAGUCAUCAUGGCCCUUACGAGUAGGGCUACACACGUGCUACAAUGGCGCAUACAAAGAGAAGCGACCUCGCGAGAGCAAGCGGACCUCAUAAAGUGCGUCGUAGUCCGGAUUGGAGUCUGCAACUCGACUCCAUGAAGUCGGAAUCGCUAGUAAUCGUAGAUCAGAAUGCUACGGUGAAUACGUUCCCGGGCCUUGUACACACCGCCCGUCACACCAUGGGAGUGGGUUGCAAAAGAAGUAGGUAGCUUAACCUUCGGGAGGGCGCUUACCACUUUGUGAUUCAUGACUGGGGUGAAGUCGUAACAAGGUAACCGUAGGGGAACCUGCGGUUGGAUCACCUCCUUACCUUAAAGAA